UACGUGAGGGGGCGAGCGUUUGUCCGGAUUCAUUGGGCGUAAAGAGCUCGUAGGCGGCUGUUCAAGUCGAUUGUGAAAACUCGGAGCUCAACUCCGAGCCUGCGUUCGAUACUGGACGGCUAGAGUCUGGUAGGGGGACCUGGAAUUCCCGGUGUAGCGGUGGAAUGCGCAGAUAUCAGGAGGAACACCGGUGGCGAAGGCGGGGUCCUGGGCCAGUACUGACGCUGAGGUGCGAAAGCGUGGGGAGCAACAGG
rnacentral:rRNA from 1 species